rnacentral:rRNA from 1 species
UACGGAGGAUGCAAGCGUUAUCCGGAAUGAUUGGGCGUAAAGCGUCCGCAGGUGGCUAUGUAAGUCUGCUGUUAAAGAGUGAGGCUCAACCUCAUAAAAGCAGUGGAAACUACAUGGCUAGAGUGCGUUCGGGGCAGAGGGAAUUCCUGGUGUAGCGGUGAAAUGCGUAGAUAUCAGGAAGAACACCGGUGGCGAAAGCGCUCUGCUAGGCCGCAACUGACACUCAUGGACGAAAGCUAGGGGAGCGAAUGGG